CUAGCCAGGUCCUUGGUGGCAAAUCCCUUGUCUUUUUUCUACGUUGCACUUCUGGGUCAUCGACCAACUUGUUUCUAUAUAAAAAAAAUGUGACUGGAAUUUGCAGAUUGCAAGAAUGACAGAUGUAGAAACUUUCAUAACCUGAUGAGUCCAUUAUGGAAUUAUAUCGUUAACUCACGUGCAAAACUAAUCAUAUGAAGAAUGUUUAUGCUGCAGUUGUUUGAGAAGAACAAUGGUUAAUAGUUAAGAAGAUGCUGCCAAUGCCUUGGUGCCUCCCAGGAGCCCCAGCUGCCGUCCUCUGGCCUGGAAGCCCGAACGCUGCCCCGCGGGGAGCACGGCUACUCCCCUCCUAGGCUGCUCUCCACCCAGGAGAAUCAUUUUUAAACACAGCACGGCAUUUCCUCCCAAACUGAAUUUCAUGAAGUUUCCACUCCUCUGUAAUCCUUUGGCAUUCCUGGAUUCCAUUUGCAACACAAACCAAGAAGUUUGGAGGAACAUCAAAAGGUUUUUUUCAGAGAUAGCAAUGCAUGCAGAUGCACUUGCUCUGCGGCAGAUCUUGCGUAGCCUUUAGAAAGUGAGUUUAUUUCUGGAAACCUGAUUUAUGGAACAGCAAAUGGAUGGAUAGCUGAUCCCCAGGGGAAAAUGUAAAUCAGCACUGACAAGCACCUUGAAAGAUCACCAAGUUCCGACUUGAUGCUGCCAGGCUGAUAACUGUAUUAGCAAAUAUUUUAUAUAAGCCUAGCAUGUGUGCUCCCCGAUAACCAUGUGGCUUUUAACAGCUUACGUAAUGUAUAUGAGCACUUCUUUAAGAUCCGGUGUAUCACGCUAUAUCAAAGUGUUGGAUGAGGAACUGGCAAUAGGUCAUCCAAAAUUAUGCAGUUUGACGUGAAAUGAUUUUGCCUUUAUAUGGCAAAGGUAGAAACUCUCUGGGUGGUGGUGGUGCGUGUUUUGUUCUUAAAAUAUCCAAUUCUCCACACACGUGCUCUGCUGACAGCACAGCUGUAAUUAUCCAUGUGAGAAACACCUGUUUCUGAUUGUUUUUAGUGUCUUAAUUAAGCAUAUUUGGCCAAUGGGGCAGAGUGGUUGAAUGGGCACAUGGCUGCAGCUGAUAUAUGCAGGCAGAAGUGAUACACGGCAGGCAGUGUAUCUUAAUAUGGGCCAUCACCUUUUGUAAUGUUGUAAGCAGAGUCCCCUGCCCCACAAUACAGAGUGCUUUGCACAGGAAAUAUUUGUGCUGUCUCAGUCCAUUAUGUGUUUGUGCUCCUCUUCAGUUGAACUUUAAUGCUGACCCCGCUCAGGGUGUGUUGCUUGUUUUGGAAAUACUUGUGAUAUCCCUUGAAUGUUUAUUUUCCACCCCGACAUGCUGCUACAUUCUUGCAAGCUUUCUCUGGCUGCAAUGCAAUGUUUGGCCAGGAAACAGAGAAUACAAAUGAAAAACAGUGCCCUG